UGCACGCAUUAAUUAAUCAAUUUGGAAGGUGUAGAUAGACAAAUAAUCAAAGUUUUCUUUGAUCCAAAACAAUUUGGUGGAGAAUGCGGGCAUUUAAGGGAUACGUUACUAAGGCAGCCGUCAGAUCCCAAGACAGGAGAGCAAAGGAUUCCCAGAGAUUGGAAACGGAGCCUGAUCACCUCUGCAUAUGGUAAAUGAGUUACUUACCUAUAUUUUCCUUUCUUUGGAUUUCUCUUGUUCUCCGUGCCUUCACAUUCGGCUUCCGGUGUUUAACGUCUUCAGACAGGUAAUAUAUAUAUGCCCGAAUGUCCCCUUUUAUAUAGAACCUGUCACUUGUCUAUCUACAGCCUGAGUCCUGAGUGUGAGUUUUAUGUGUGAAAGUGUCUGUUUGAGAAUCUGUUUUACUACUUGCUUAAUACUGUUAUAUAAUGCUGCCAAGUGUGGUUAAGCACUUGCAGGUUUAGCCAAGUUCGGGUUUGGUGGAAAACCCCUGGCUCUAUAUUUAUUUUAGCUAAGCUUCGGUAAAGAAGUUAUUGCGAGACUCGGUCAAGAGUUUAAAAAUAAAUAAAUAAAAUAAUUAAAAAAAUAAAUAAAUAAAAAAAAAAAAAUAUUUUAGCUAAGCUUUGGUAAAGAAGCUAGUGAGUGAUGUUUUGGCCUCGUUUGGUAAAAAACCUGGCGGUUCCUUUGUUUUAUUAAGACUCGGUCAAGAGUUUAAAUAGCUAAGCUUUGGUAAAGGAGCGGUUUAUGUGCUUGAGUGUUUCUGUGUGUGUGAUUUGAUUUAUUAUAAGCCGGCAUUUAUUUUAAGAACUUUGUGAUUUAAUUACAUCUGUAUUUUGUGCUUUUGUCUGUGUAUGUCUUGUUGGGUACCAUAUAUGUUAAUUGUAAUCUAUACAAUUUGUAUCGUUACUCUCCUAUUCUAUCUUUUGUCCUAAGGAGAGCUGUGCUUAGGCAAUCACAUGGUUAAAAAACUUUGUGCUUGCAAGUCUUCCUCCCUCCUCCCCCCUCCUUCUUUGUUGCUUUCUCUUGCUCUGACUGCAGGGGUGGGGUGAAUGGGUGAAAUGCUUGUAAACUCAGUGAGGAAUGUGAGGGAAACAAGGUAUAUUUGCUGGACGAAUAACCUAGUUAGGAACUUUGUGUAAUCUUGUAUAUGUUGUUAAGUAAGAGGUUAUUGGCAUGUUGGAAUAAGGAAAGUUAGAUUUUGUUGGAACAAAUGAAUUGUGGAAUUUAUAAAUGAUAUCGCAGAGAAAAGUAAAUUGCAGUUUGCAUUUAAUAGCAGCUAUUCAGAUGCUGUUUUGUGGCAAUCUUUAUACACACAAUGUGAAAUUGCCAAUAGUGAAAUUGACAAGAAAUUGUUUGUUAAUAAGAAAAAAAAAAAAAAAAAAAGAUCAGAAAUGUUAUGAAACUAGUCUGUACUUACAAUGCAUUGAUUUGUAAACGAAAUACAGGUAAAGAAAAUUUAGAAUCAGCAGAAAAAGAAGUAGAUUUGAAUGGGUUAACAGAAGACAAAUCAGAUUUAAAUGAACAGUGUAACAAUGUAACAGAGAGCACAUUGUCAGAAACAGUCUGUGAAUUAGAGGAUAGAGUUGAACUAAGAAAUGAUCUUAUUUGCCAGCUUAGAAAUGAAGUAAAGCUAGUGUGUGUUAAUACAAGAAAAAUACAGGCACAGAAUCUAAUCCCAGAGCCAAUAGAUACUGAAAAUGUAUCCUCACAGAGUGAUUUGCAGAAAUAUAAAUUUCAAGACAGAGCUGCAAAACUUAAUUUGAAGAUCCAUGAACAAUUAAUGAAAAUUGUGAAAUGUAUUCCAGUUUAUGACACGUCAGUGGAUGCAUUCACUAAUGCUGAAAUGUUUGAGUCUAAUUUAGACAAAUACAGCCUAAAUGACGUACAAAGGAAUAGACUAUUUCAAAUAUGGCUGCUGACUCAAAUGGCAUGUAGGCUGACCGCGAUUGUAAAAUUUGAGGACAAUGGUGAAAUAAUAUAUGGAAAUAAGCGAGACAGAUUAACACAAUUAAUAAAAUUAACAACAGGGAAUGAUUUUGCAGACACUGAAAUGUUGGAAAAACUAAAACCACACAAGGGGGAGGAUAUAUUUAGUUUUCUUGUAAAAUUUGAAAAUGCAUAUAGACUUGUUGCUGAUUUUUCUGAAGAUCAGUUAAUUAAUGAAUUUGUGAAAAAAUUUCAAGAUCUAGAUCCAACUGCAAUUGUGGUAGCUAGAGAAAAAAGCACUUUGACAGAAGUAGCUUUGUUCUUGGAUAACUUAAGGAGGGAAACCAAGAAUGAAGGGGUUAAAACGACUUGUGGCUUUAGGCAGAGAAAGAAGUGCAGAUGUUACAGCCCCCGUCCCCCUCCUUCUUCUUCUUCUUCUUCUAGGACAGAGUGUAGAGUGAUACAGACAGCUGAGCCCCUCCCAAUUUAUUCAACUAAAUAUAGGGCAGUUGAUAAUAUAGGGCAGAAUAUAACUCCUAAAGUUAUUUGUUUUUGGUGCAAUAAACAACAUUAUUUAAGAUCUUGCAGAUAUUUUAUCCGAGAUAUCAAAUCAAAAGCAAAUGAGAAAUUAAAUUUGUUGAUUGAAAAUUUUGACAGAGAAAAUACAUGUGGAGAUAAAUCAAUUAAAGCCUUUCCUUGUAAACUUAUAAUCAGACAAAUAAAAGCAAUUUUAGCUAAAUCGAAAUUAGGAGACAGACAAGCAAUGCAGCGUAACACAGAAAGUUAUAAGAAUCAGAUAACUUCAAGAGAUAUGAUCAGUUUAGGGAAUGAGCAUGGAUAUGUCUGCCAACAGAGGUACACAGGCUGAUUCCAGAAUUAAGAACAGCCAAGAAUAGAGUUCUAUGUUAGUUUGUUUUAAUGAAAUGUUAGUCUGAACUGUUUUUUCAUUGUUUUAUAUGUAUUUUAAGAAAGUAUUAGGUUAAUUAAUUAAAAUAAAAAUGUACAUCAAGUUUGCAAAUAUGGCAGAAUGAAAUACACUAAUGUAGCAGUGAGGAACAUGCAAUGUAUGUUAUAUUGGGUGUAUGCAAUUAUACAGUAACUCCAAUCAUUUUACAGAAGGUAAAAACAAUGUUGUUACUUCUGAGGUUGAUUUAAAAUCUUUGAUUUAAUUAAUGAGAAUGAGAUUUUAAUAUCAUGACUGAUAAUGGAUUACUGUAUAUUGCAACGCCUGGACAUACACAUGGUUUGGAUAUACUGAAGACAAAAGGAAUAAUAUAUGGGAAUGGAUAAGGCUGAUUUCCCCCUAUCCACAGCCACGCCUACUCCUAAAGUAACAUCGCGUACAUCCUUACUAUGCCCUUUUACUGUAGAAUUUCCCGAAUCCUAAUGACCCAUUCCACUACAUGGUGUGACUUGUUUAAGCCUAAGAUAAAUUGGCUGAUCAGGCUACCUGUAUUAACAAUGUCAUCAACAAUGAGUUAGCAUCUGUGGAGAAGCAUCACUUCAGGUUGUCCCAAAUUUUCUUUUAACUUAAGUUUUAGUACAUAGUAAGGCCCAUGCCCAAUAACUAUAUGCAGCCUUGUAUAGCAGGCCACAUGACAUCUAUUUGUACCAAGCAAGGCCUGCCUGACUCCUCAUUCCUGUCUAACAUUGUUGUCUCCUGCAUAAGUGUAGAUGGCUCUCCUUGGAGUAGCCUGUUAACUAAGCCUUGCUUUGUGGUUACCUUCACCUGUCCAAUUAAUCUGCUAGGUGCAGAUGUCCUUCCCCCACUUGCAGGCCCCUAUCACCUUAUUAUUCAUUUUGUUCCACACAGUGAAACCUGACCAAGAGGCAAGGGUCCUAGCUAGUUCCCCCAAUACCUUUACCUGAAUUAUACAGGCCCCAAAGCCUGUCCAAGCUCUUACUAUUCCCUAACAGGUUAAGGCUCUGGUGUCGAAUGUUGCCCUGGUUACCUGAGACUUUCCAUGCAAUAUCCCACCUCUCCUUGUGAUGGACGAAUUCUGUGCAGGAUAAUGUCACCCUGCAGGGAUGAUACUCUAUUUACCUGGCCACUCUUCUGCCACUUCCCAAGGGGGGAAAUGAUAAGACACUGACUAUUAUUUUUUUUAGCCUUUUUCUUAUGUUCUGUUCCGGAUUUGCUGUCACUACAGUGGACCAAGUAUCUCACCUCAACAAUGUCUGCACAAGAAGCUGAGCUAUAGACUCCCAUCACACCAUGCAAGAUCUCUGAAGGAAGACUGAACUCAGAGGAAGCAUGUGGCAGCUCUCUGGCUGACUAAGUUGUUCAAAAAGUUGUAAGUGCACUAAGGGAAGUGGACAGAAAAGUGUCUGCUGAAGAAACUCCCAUAUUCACCAUGUAAGAUCCUACCCACAGACAUCAAGCUCCCGAAGGAAUAACAAGCAAGCUACUGACCCUGGAAAGAAA
rnacentral:lncRNA from 1 species